GGAGUUGUGGCUCAGCGGUAGAGCACUCACCUAGCAUGUGUGAGGCACUAGGUUCAAUCCUCAGCACCA
rnacentral:tRNA from 1 species